rnacentral:rRNA from 11 species
GAAUACUACUAAAUACACUAAAAGGCAUCAGAUCCCAUCUGAUCUAAGCAGCUAAAUGAGGUCAGCCCUUGUUAGUAUUUGGAUGGAAUACCAGCAAUAAAUUUCUGGUGCUGUAUAAU